AAAAAAAGAACAACCCAAAUGAAUUGUGGAGAAGAGUUGGGGUUAUGGGAAAAGACGUGCCUUCGACGAUUUUAGGAUAGAAGAUGUUGAAAAUAACACUUCUAGCGCGUAUUUUUUUUUUAAUAAUAAAUGUUUAUGUUGAAGGAAAGAAUCAUCAUAGAAUCACAGAGAUAGAGACUAGCUAACAGUUUCCUAUAAUAGCUAGGUUGCUGUAUCACCGAAGCCUUAUCUCUAAAGGCUAGGUUUGUAAAUGUACAUAAAAUCCUAAGGUGUGUAGGGUUUUAUACCAGACUGUAUAUAUAGCUUGUAACAUAGCUUUCAUUUAAUAAGAAAAGUUAGCCUUCUUCGGCCUAGUUUUCUACAUGGUAUCAGAGCGACACCGAUCCUAAACACCACAAUCCAUCACAAAACCAAACCUUCAGUCCCAAAUAUGACCGACGUCGAAAAGAAGGACGCCAAGUCCGAUACUUCUGACUCGAACGCACGGAAUCCAUGGGACAACACCAACCACGCUCUUCACCUGCACCACUCGGAUCAACCGGGCGCUGUUCUUAUCACACAGGCCCUAAUGGAGGACAACUUCACCGAAUGGUCGCAAUCCAUGAGCGACUCCCUGAAAAUCAAAAACAAAUUGGGGUUUGUUCUCGGGACUCAAAUCAAACCUAGCAUCAAUGAGGAGGAAUUGCAGCAGUGGGAGCGCUGCGACACCCUUGUGAAAACAUGGCUUGUUGCAGCAAUGUCCAAGCCGAUUGCCAGCAGCGUCCGACACUGCAAGACUGCAAGAGAUGUAUGGGUUGAGUUGUCUGAGAGGUUCUUACAGACGAACACCGUCCAAUUGUUUAACAUAGAACAUGCUAUUCAUGGCUGCUUUCAAGGCACAGACUCCGUAACGAGUUUCUACACAAAGCUGAAAGCUCUAUGGGACGACAGAGAUGCUCUUUGCAAUCUCUCACCUUGCAAAUGUGAGCUUACAGAAUAUAUGAAAAACCAGAAGACAAUGAAAUUUCUCAUGGGAUUGAACGAUAGCUAUGACAUCCUUCGUAGCAACAUCGUCGCAAUUGAUCCAUUACCGACAGUUAACAAAGCCUAUUCUAUGGCUUUACGGCAUGAGAAACAAGCAGCUGCUUCGAACAACAGCAAGCAGAUUUCACAGCCAGAGGGAGCCGCUUUCUCGGUUAAGCAAAACCACCGAGAUGAAGGAGAGUCCAGUGAACGUGAUGUUCGAUCUAAUGAGCGUGAAGUGAGAUGUGAAAAGUGUGGCAAGAAGCACCAAACCAAAAAUUGUCGCCAACAUCUCAAGUGUACCUAUUGCAAAUGGAAAGGUCACACCAUUGAGGACUGUCGCACAAGAAAAAGAGAUGAGGAUAGAAAAGGCCGAAGCAAUCAUGUCGAUUCCAAUAACCUAUCCGAGUCAGACAUCAGUUUUCCCUUCUCCAAAGAAGUGUGCGGCAAAAUUGUCAAGUUACUGAGCCAACACAAAGAUUCGGCAGCCAACAACGUUGGUAACAACUCUCACUUUGAUAACCUAUCAGGUAAAGCCUUUAAAUUUUCGAACAACAAUAGUGUUUGGAUAUUGGACAGCGGAGCCACUGACCAUAUCGUUUGUCAUCCUAAUCUCCUCACAAACAAAUAUCCUACCCAACAUCGAUUUGUUAAGUUACCUGAUGGCACAAAGGCACCAGUCUCUCAUAUCGGGACAAUAGCCUUUUCUCCUAAUUUCAUAUUACACAAUGUUCUCUGUGUUCCCAUAUUCUAUCUCAACUUAAUCUCCAUCACCAAACUUACCCAUGAUUCAUUUUGUGUGACUAUAUUUCUCAAAGAGCUUUGUUUCAUACAGGACCUUCGCUCGGGGAAGAUGAUUGGGACAGGGAUUGAGAAGGAAGGAUUGUACUGCCUCAACCAAGCUCAUCAGAUCAAAUGCAACACAGUUUCGGUCGAUAGGCAGUCCUCACUGUGGCACCAGCGCCUCGGUCACCCCUCUACUCGAGUCUUUCCCUUAUUUCCUUUCCUCGCAACUAAACCUUGCGACGCAAGUAGUUGUUCAAUUUGUCCUUUAGCAAAACACACCAGAAACGUUUUUCCUUUGAGUUCAAUUUCUAGCCACAAAGCUUUUGAUUUGAUUCAUGUAGACAUUUGGGGAGGUUAUCAUGAACCCUCAAUUUCUGGAGCAAAGUAUUUUUUAACUAUCGUUGAUGAUUUUACUCGGUGCACAUGGGUUUAUUUGAUGAUUCAAAAAUCCGAGGCUCGUCAAUUCUUGAUCAAUUUUAUUCAUCUUGUCGAAAAUCAGUUUGAUACAACCGUCAAAAUUGUUCGUAGUGACAAUGGCCCCGAAUUCACUCUGAAAAAUUUUUAUUCCUCCAAGGGCAUUGUACAUCAAACUAGCUGCGUCAACACACCACAACAAAAUGGUGUUGCUGAACGUAAGCAUCGCCACUUGCUGAAUAUGGCUAGGGCUUUAUUAUUUCAGGCACAUCUCCCUAAGCCAUUCUGGGGAGAUGCCAUCCUCACAUCAUGUUAUUUGAUCAACCGCACUCCUACGCCUCUCCUCAAAGGUCUUAGCCCUUUCGAAAAAUUAUUCAAUACUGCACCGAAAUAUGAUCAUUUAAAGGUUUUUGGAUGUCUCUGCUUUGCGUCAACCCAUCCUCUUAAACCUACCAAAUUUGAUGCUCGGGCUACUCGAUGUAUUUUUCUAGGUUAUCCGACUGGUCAGAAGGGCUAUAAACUUCUUGAUCUCGAUCAAGAACGAGUCAUUGUCUCACGGGAUGUUACUUUUUCUGAAAACCAAUUCCCUUAUGCCGAUACUACUUCCUCUCUGCCUUAUCGACCAGUCUCUCCUCCAAUUUCGAGUCAAACACCUCGUCAACCUCGGAAUCAUAGUCCGCCCCCAUCCAAUCGAGUUUCUGAUACUAUGGGUAGUGAUAGGGUUCAUACUUUCGGUCAAACACAAAUACCUCCAGUCACUAGUCAUCCCAUUCAAGACAACCAUGCUAGAGAUAUACAUCCAGGCAAUAUCAAUCCGCCUAGAAAGUCUGAUCAAACACAGCAUGCUGGGUCUUCGGGUGAUCUGAUAUCUACAAGGGUUUUAGGAGAUAACUCACUAGUUCCAUCUUCUGUUGAAGAUAGGGUUCCAACUGUCCCUCCUCAUCCCCCAUCCACACAAACAGCUUCCGCUCCUACACCCUCACCACCUUUGCAUGCCCCUCUUCUCGAAAAUCAGUCCCAUCCUCUGCCCCGCAAGUCUUCUCGUCCCACAAGAACUCCAGACUUUCUGCAUGACUACCAUGUUGAGGCAGCUCUUCCUUCUCGUGACCUGCCGGCAUCUUCUACGGGUUCAGGUACUUCCCACUCCAUCUCACAAGUUCUUUCUUAUACUCGAUUGUCUCCUUCUCACAAAGCCUUCACUAUUAAUCUCACCCUCCACAAGGAGCCUUCUACUUAUGAACAGGCUAUGAAACUUCAGGUGUGGCGGGAUGCCAUGAGAAAAGAGAUUGAUGCACUUCAACAGAACCGUACUUGGAGUCUUGUCCCUCUUCCUGCACACAAACGUCCUAUCGGAUGCAAAUGGGUUUACAAAAUCAAACUCAAUCCAGAUGGUUCUGUUGAACGAUACAAAGCCAGACUUGUUGCCAAGGGAUAUAGUCAGGUUGAAGGAAUUGAUUAUAGAGAGACAUUUGCUCCUGUUGCCAAGCUCACCACCGUGCGUCUUCUUCUCAGCCUUGCCGCCCUCCGGCAUUGGCAUAUCCAUCAACUUGAUGUCAACAAUGCCUUCUUAUAUGGUGACCUUGAAGAAGAAGUGUACAUGAAACUUCCUCCCGGUUUUGGUCGAAAGGGGGAGCAUAAGGUUUGCCGGUUACAUAAAAGCUUGUAUGGCCUCAAACAAGCAUCGAGACAGUGGUUCAUUAAACUGUCUUUGGCACUUAGGGCAGCAGGAUUCACACAAAGCUGGUCAGACUAUUCAUUGUUCGUCCGAAACCGAAAUGACAAGUUUACAGUACUCUUGGUUUAUGUGGAUGAUGUAAUAUUAACUGGCAACAGUCUUGAAGAGAUUGCAUCGAUCAAAGAGUCACUCUCUCGGCAGUUCAAGCUCAAGGACCUUGGCAACCUGAAAUAUUUCUUGGGAAUUGAAGUGGCACGGUCAAGACAAGGCAUAUCUCUCUCACAAAGGAAGUAUGCAUUAGAGAUACUUGAAGAUGCGGGAUUUCUUGCUGCUAAACCGUCUAGAUUCCCAGUAGAUCAGAACCUGGCACUUACGCAGACAGGGGGAGAGUUGUUAUCCGAUCCAUCACAGUAUAGAAGACUUGUUGGGAGGAUGAUCUAUUUGACCAUUACUAGACCGGACUUGACCUAUGCAGUUCAUAUUUUGACUCAGUUCAUGGACAAACCACGCCAACCUCACCUUGAUGCAGCCUAUCAUGUAUUGAGGUAUGUGAAGAACACUCCAGGCCAAGGUAUUCUUUUACCGUCUACAGGAAAGCUCGAGUUGACAGCUUUCUGUGACGCUGAUUGGGCACGCUGCAAGGAUACGAGAAGGUCCAUCACAGGUUACUUUGUCAUGUUUGGACAAGCACCUAUAUCAUGGAGAACGAAGAAGCAAAGCACAGUUUCACGUUCUAGCGCGGAAGCCGAGUAUCGAUCCAUGGCAUCCACAUGCUGUGAAGUUACAUGGCUUAGAAACAUAUUAAAGGACUUGCAAGUCAAACAGGUACGGCCUACAAAAUUAUUCUGUGACAAUCAAGCCGCUAUCCACAUAGCUACUAAUCCAGUAUUUCAUGAGAGGACAAAACAUAUUGAAAUAGAUUGUCAUGUUGUACGUGAAAAGAUGCAACGUGGAGUGAUCAAAGCUGCACAUGUAAGUACUAAAGAGCAACCUGCAGACCUUUUCACGAAACCUUUGAGUUCGGUUCAGUUUGAGAUCCUUCUUAACAAGCUAGGUGUAGUCAACAUACACACUACCUUGAGGGGGAGUGUUGAAGAAAAGAAUCAUCAUAGAAUCACAGAGAUAGAGACUAGCUAACAGUUUCCUAUAAUAGCUAGGUUGCUGUAUCACCGAAGCCUUAUCUCUAAAGGCUAGGUUUGUAAAUGUACAUAAAAUCCUAAGGUGUGUAGGGUUUUAUACCAGACUGUAUAUAUAGCUUGUAACAUAGCUUUCAUUCAAUAAGAAAAGUUAGCCUUCUUCGGCCUAGUUUUCUACAGUUUAUUUUGGUCAUUUAGCUUACUUAUAAAAUCUCAAUAGAAACAUAAAAUAAUAAAGGUGUGUAUUAAGAAAUUAAGGGUGUGU
rnacentral:lncRNA from 1 species